rnacentral:rRNA from 1 species
CGCUCUCCUUGGAGAGAGUGGCGCACGGGUGAGUAACACGUGGGAAACUACCUUUUGGUACGGAAUAAUAUUUGGAAACGAAUACUAAUACCGUAUGGUCCCUCCGGGGUAAAGAUUUAUCGCCAAAAGAUGUGCCCGCGCCCAAUUAGCUAGAUGGUAAGGUAACGGCUUACCAUGGCGACGAUUGGUAGCUGGUCUGAGAGGAUGAUCAGCCACACUGGAACUGAGACACGGUCCAG